CCUACGGGAGACAGCAGUGAGGAAUAUUGGUCAAUGGGCUUACGCCUGAACCAGCCAAGUCGCGUGAGGGAAGACUGCCCUAUGGGUUGUAAACUUCUUUUGUCAGGGAGUAAUUUGCGCCACGUGUAGCGUUAUCGAGAGUAUUUGAAGAAAAGGAUCGGCUAACUCCGUGCCAGCAGCCGCGGUAAUACGGAGGAUGCGAGCGUUAUCCGGAUUUAUUGGGUUUAAAGGGGGCGUAGGGGGGAUGUUAAGUCAGCGGUAAAAUUGUGGGGCUCAACCUCACUCCGCCAUUGAAACUGGCGUUCUUGAGUAGACGAGAGGUAUGCGGAAUGCGUGGUGUAGCGGUGAAAUGCAUAGAUAUCACGCAGAACUCCGAUUGCGAAGGCAGCAUACCAGCGCCCCACUGACACUGAAGCACGAAAGCGUGGGUAUCGAACAGGAUUAGAUACCCCAGUAGUC
rnacentral:rRNA from 1 species